AGAACGAACGCUGGCGGCACGCCUAACACAUGCAAGUCGAGCGCCCAGCAAUGGGAGCGGCGGACGGGUGAGUAACACGUGGGAAUAUGCCUUUCGGUACGGAACAACUCAGGGAAACUUGAGCUAAUGCCGUAUACGCCCUUACGGGGAAAGAUUUAUCGCCGAAAGAUUAGCCCGCGUCUGAUUAGCUAGUUGGUGAGGUAAUGGCUCACCAAGGCUUCGAUCAGUAGCUGGUUUGAGAGAACGACCAGCCACACUGGGACUGAGACACGGCCCAGACUCCUACGGGAGGCAGCAGUGGGGAAUCUUGGACAAUGGGGGAAACCCUGAUCCAGCGAUGCCGCGUGAGUGAUGAAGGCCUUCGGGUUGUAAAACUCUUUCGACGGGGACGAUAAUGACGGUACCCGUAGAAGAAGCUCCGGCUAACUUCGUGCCAGCAGCCGC
rnacentral:rRNA from 1 species